rnacentral:rRNA from 1 species
ACGGCCCGUAACGGGGCCGGCCCUUUCAGGGCAGGGGAGACAGGUGGUGCAUGGUUGUCGUCAGCUCGUGUCGUGAGAUGUUGGGUUAAGUCCCGCAACGAGCGCAACCCCUGCCCGCAGUAGCCAGCACAUGAAGGUGGGCACUCUGCGGGGACUGCCGGGGACAACCCGGAGGAAGGCGGGGACGACGUCAAAUCAUCAUGCCCCUUAUGGCCUGGGCGACACACGUGCUACAAUGGCGCCGACAGAGGGAUGCGAAGCGGCGACGCGGAGCGAACCCCAAAAACGGCGCCCCAGUUCGGAUUGUAGUCUGCAACCCGACUACAUGAAGCCGGAAUCGCUAGUAAUCGCGGAUCAGAACGCCGCGGUGAAUACGUUCCCGGGUCUUGUACACACCGCCCGUCACACCAUGGGAGCCGGGGAUGCCCGAAGUCUGUGGCCGAACCCGAAAGGGGCGGAGCAGCCGAAGGCAGGCCCGGUGACUGGGGUGAAGUCGUAACAAGGUAACCGU